ACCUCACACACACACACACACACACGCACUCCUAAUCCUAACCUGGUGUGGUGUUUGUUUCUAGUUAUAGCACUGUGUAACUCACACUGCUAAUCUACCAGAUUAACCUUGUGGUUCUGGUCAUGUUGAGUGGAUCACACUGUAAAAUCCCAUUCGGACUGAUCCUUACUGUAAGAACCCAUUCGGACUGAUCCUUACUGUAAAAUCUUAUUCUGACUGAUCCUUAAUGUAAGAACCCAUUUGGACUGAUCCUUACUGUAAGAACCCAUUCUGACUCAUCCUUACUGUAAGAACCCAUUUGGACUGAUCCUUACUGUAAGAACCCAUUUGAACUGAUCCUUACUGUAAGAACCCAUUUGAACUGAUCCUUACUGUAAGAACCCAUUCUGACUGAUCCUUACCGUUAGAACCCAUUUGGACUGAUCCUUACCGUUAGAACCCAUUUGGACUGAUCCUUACUUAAGGAUGUGGUUUCCCUUAUAACCGUGUGAGUGCACCUGGAUGUGUGUGUGUGUGUUGCUUAGGGGAACCUGUGUGUAUGUGUGAGUCACUAAUACUGGCCAAGCAGUGUAUUUGAGAUAUUUGUGUGUAUUACUAGGUAGGGCCUUUAGUAUGAAAAGUAUGUGUGUGAGAGAGAGCACGUUUCACACAAUAUGUCCCAGAGGGGUGUGUGCGUGUGCGUGUGUGUGUGUGUGUGUGUGUGUGUGUCUUGAGGAGAUGGGUUGUCCCAAAGGAAAGUUCAGCUCAGAGUGCUCUCACAAAACAACCCAUUUAUGAAGGGAUCAAACCAGCCACAUGUAGAGAAUGAUAAUCUACUGUAGUCAGCAUUAAACCAGCUUGCAUUCUUUCAGUGUUAAUGUGUGUGAAGGUGAACACCUGUCUGUCUGUUUAAAUAUCACCAUGCUAUCAGUAGUCGUGUGUGUGUGUGUGUGUGUGUGUGUUGGAAAGAGGACAUCCUCUGUCUUUUAUCAGCUGUGAUUGGUUGAUCUCAUUUGCUCCUUGUGGCUGGCCUGUACAUAAAUAAGCACUGCACUUUGUACACCAGAAUCACACACACAGCCCUUCCCCUGAAUCCCUGGUUCCUGUCUGAAAUCAUAGCUACUUAGCUAGCAUGUUAUUUUGGAUGAAAACAUCGUCAUGGCUGCUCUGGCCUUGGUCUGUUCUAUUGAUGAAAGUAAUGGAUAGAAUGUGUGUUUUUCAGUGAGAGUGCAUGGGGUUGUUGGUGUAGGAGAGAGUUGGUGUGUGUGAAGGUCUCUGAGGAGUGAAACCUUUUAAAACAUCGAUUAACUGGCCCCUCCAUCCUCUCUUCUCCUCCACCUCUCUGUCACCCAUCCCAUGGUGGAAUACCCCAGUGACAGAUCCUCUUCCAUUACCUCUCUCUCCCUCACCUCCAUCUGCCCCUCUCUUUCUUUCACGCCAACUCUCUCGGUUCCCUUCUCCUUUCUCCCCGUCCACUUUUCUUGAUUUUUUUCUCCUCUCCUCCUCUUUCUCUCUCUCUCACUCCCCCAUUCCCUUCAACUGGCUUGUGG
rnacentral:lncRNA from 1 species